rnacentral:misc_RNA from 1 species
AAUUCUGUCAAAACAUGCACUUGAGUGUGUUUUGGAUUAUGGGAGUGUCUGCUGGCUUUAUAUGAGCCAGCUCUCCUGAAAGACAUUAGCUUUGGGGGGAAGGUGCCAAGUCACUUCUGCCUUUCCAUUGGUGUGAUAGAUUGGAUUAUCUACACCAGGAAAGCAGGUGAAGCACUGUAAUCUCUCUGCUCUCUAAUUGACAUUUGUCUGACA